rnacentral:tRNA from 1 species
GAUAGAAUGGCUGAGAAUUAGGCAUUAGACUGUAAAUCUAAUUACGAGAUUUUUCUCUUCUAUCA